ACACGUUUCCCGCUUUUUCCUACAUAUUUAUCCAAAACGCGGUACCAAACCGUCAAUGCAGGUCCCUGUAAUGUGAUUGUUGUUUAUUAGAGAGGUAACUUCAUUCAUAAUGUCCUAAAUUUUUGCCGAUAACACUUUUAAACACCCGAAAAUGAUCGGCAGAUUGUUCGCUUCAAAAACCAUUUUCCGAAGAGUUUUACGACCUCUAUAUACUCUGCCUAAAGUCAGAAACACACCAAAGCUCUUUCUUGUUACUUCCUAUCCAAUUUUCUCAAAAGAGCGCUCAAAAGACACAAUGGAUAAUUUUGAUUUGCACUUAAAGGCAGCUUGUGAGAAGGGUGAAGUAGCAAUUACGCAACUGAUGAAUUCCUUCCGCGAUCAUAUUCUGGAAACAAGCAAAGCUUACAAGGAAUGUUUACAAAAACAAAUCGAAAUUAUUGACGAAGCCACAAAAGUGGGUGCUAUGUCGGCAAAAUGGGACGAAUUGCCCGAAUAUAGAAGUAUAGCUACUGAUUUGAGCCAACAGUUGAAUACUUUUGCUACUACUGUUCAUACUCUUAGUGAAAUUGCUAAAAAUGAAACUUUACAAUACAUCACGCAACAACAGAAGCAAUUUAAGUUGAUUGGCAAGAAGACCAAGGAACUGGAAAAAUUACUAACGAACCAAAUGGAAGAAAUAAAGAAACUGGAGUCGAAAGUUUUAGCCAAGAGUCGAGAAAGCAUACAAAAAUCGAAAUAAAUCUAGAAAAUGUUUAUUUAACCAAUAAAAAUUUGACAUUAUG